CUGGCGGUAAGGGGGGAGCCAGGGCAUGGCGGGGAGGGGUCCUGUGGUGAGGGGGGGUCCCGAUGACACCCCCUGUCCCCCAGGGCCCCUUCGGCUGCCUGACCCAGGCGCGUUACGGCAUCGCCUGGGGCGCGCUGGGCGCCGCCGAGGCCUGUCUGGAGACGGUGCGGCAGUACGUGCUCGACAGGAAGCAGUUUGGGGGCCCGCUGGCCCGGAACCAGCUGGUGCAGAAGAAGCUGGCGGACAUGGUGACGGAGAUCACGCUGGGGCUCCACGCCUGCCUGCGCCUCGGCCGCCUCAAGGACGAGGGCAGGGCCGCCCCCGAGAUGGUGUCGAUGCUGAAGAGGAAUUCGUGCGGGAAGGCGCUGGGCAUCGCGAGGGACGCGCGGGACAUGCUGGGGGGCAACGGGAUCUGCGACGAGUUCCACGUGAUCCGGCACCUCAUGAACCUCGAGGCCGUCAACACCUACGAGGGUACGGCGGGGAGGGG
rnacentral:lncRNA from 1 species